AAUCAAAAAAGUCUUCGUUAGUGCGAUUGGCGGACAAAAACAGUCCGACGGAUUUACUUCAUCAUGGUUUGGCCAGUAAAUUGAAGGUUGAACUGAUCACGACUAACGGCGGAGUCGGCGCCGCCAAUCAUUACUAUAUGAAUAGCGAACCGAAAGCCAUUACAUUGAAUCAGGUUUUGAAAAACGAGUUCAACGACAACAACAACAACACUAAUAGCCAGGACUUUGCCGCCGCCAGACUUACGGCUGGUAUCAAAAGCGAAGGCCUUUCGUGUCCAACACCGGGUUGCGAUGGCAGUGGACAUAUAACCGGUAGUUUUCUAACGCAUCGAAGUUUGUCGGGUUGUCCG